rnacentral:misc_RNA from 1 species
AAGUCGUAACAAGGUCUCCGUUGGUGAACCAGCGGAGGGAUCAUUACCGAGUUUUACAACUCCCAACCCCUGUGAACAUACCUUAAUGUUGCCUCGGCGGAUCACGCCCGCCGCCCAGUGAAAUGGGACGGCCCGCCAGACGGAACCCAAAACUUCUAAUGUUUCAUAUUGUACUUCUGAAGUAAAACAAACAAAUAAUCAAAA